CAAUAGUCAUAGUUGUGAAUAUACAUAAUUUUUUCUCACAUAACGAGUAACAACGAUUAUUACCUAUUCGAAAUUCGAUCAUACAGCAGACGAUAAGUACAUACGUACAAAUACUCUGAAACAGAGAUUUGAUAAAGACAGAAAUUAAAUUUUUAUUCCAGUGGAAUACAAAUUAUUAAAUAAUUCUAUAUAAUUUCUAUUUGAACUAUACUGAACUAUAAAGUUCAAACGUGUAAUUUCUGCCCUAACAGUUUUUGAUCUCUAUCCAUAUUAUUACUCCUAUAUCAAUUUUUUAUUUCAAGCAAAAAGAUACUCUUCCUAACAUGAAGUAAAAGAAAGAAAUAAUUCAAGUUAAUAAGUAAAGUUACUACCGAUAAAAUCAUAGCAUUAUUAUUUAGUCUAAUUGAAAUGUACAUUGAUGUGCUGUUUAAUGCCUUUAAAUUAGUCAUCAUGUUGAUAAUAAUUAUCUAAAGAAACUUUUCACGUGAAAAUAUAAAAUUUUAAUUGAUUAGAUAUUGUGUUAGCCAUACUUAAGAAAGAAAAUGAAAAUGAAUGAAAUGAAAGAAAAGGACUACCUUCAACCUCAUUUUUUAAAUAAACACUUUGUCAGUUUUUCGGUAAAUAAAUUCUUAGGAAUUCAGGACAGUUUUUAGUGAAUCAUUUUGUUUCGACCGUUCGCGGAGAGACGCGAUCGCGAGAUAGCACGUCAACGAGAGUUGUAAGUUCCCGUUACGAUUAAAUAAUCGACGCCACGAACUGAUCGAUCCCCUUAUUUCGAUUAUGAUAAUAAGGGUAGUUCAAUGAAAUUCCACAGAAUUAACACAAAUAAAUUAAUGUUUAUUUCAACAACUUAUUAACUAGAAAGAUAUAAAUGGAACAAAAAAAAUGUAACUGCGUUUUGGUUGAUAAGUAAUGCGCGACAUACCACAUGUGUUGACGGUUCGACUUCUCGAAAAGUUCUGAACGCCUUUCGAUUUUUUUCGUUUUUUC